rnacentral:lncRNA from 1 species
CACGAACGAACGGCGUGGAUUCCUCCCCGGUGGCAAGAUCCCUGAUGGUCUCCCCUGAAUUGUCGAGAUUAUAGGCCGUGGUCAUUAUGGCCGACUUAACGGCGGCGGGGCUCCACUCGGGGUGGGCCGUGUGGAGGAGAGCGGCGAUGCCGCUGACGUGGGGGCACGCCAUGGACGUCCCGGAAAUGAUGUUGAAUUCGACCCUUCGGGGGUCGAUAUCCAGAUCGGUCGGGCUGCUGGCGCCGGUCCAGGCGGCCAAAAUGUUGACCCCGGGCGCGAUGACGUCGGGCUUCAGGAUCUCGUGGGCGCGGUAGUUGGGCCCGCGGCUGGAGAAGGACGCCACUUUGGGCGCCGGCGGGGAUGGACCGAUGACCGUGCCGCGGAACACGAUGGUGGCGGUGGGGGAUGCCGUCGAAUUGAUGUAGUUGCGGAUCUUGUCCCCGGCGAUUUGGCCGACCAUGGUGGCGGGGAUGAGGUGCGAGUCGGCGAUGAGCUCCUCGCCGUUCUCCUCCGUGUUCGCCAGUAUCAUGGCGGCGCCGCCGGCGAUCUUGACGGCGCUCCCCUUCUCCACCCGCGCGUUGAGGCCGCGGUCGCAGAGCACGAUCUUCCCCGCGACCUUGUCGGCGUCGAGGGCGCCCGGAAUGCACAGCCGCGAUCCGCAGUCGCCCGCGUAGACGAGCGGCAGGAGCGUGGCGUUCAGGGGCUCGCCGGCGUAGAGCGAGACGCCGCCGUAGGCGGAGCCGUCGCCGAGCGCCGCGUCGGCGGGGAACUCGCGGUCGAUGGUGGAGGCGCCGACGGUGAGGAUCCAGGGCGCGACGUUGACGGCGGUGUAGGCGCCGGGGCCGGAGUUCCCGGCGGAGCAGGAGACGACGACGCCGCGGCGGGCGGCGCCGAACGCGCCGAUGGCGAUGGAGUCGCGGUGGAAGGGGGGGGCGUAGCCGUUGGCGCCGACGGAGAGGGAGAUGACGUCGGCGCCGUCGGCGAUGGCGGCGUCCAUGGCGGCGAGGAUGUCGGAGUCGAAGCAGCCGGAGGCCCAGCAGAUCUUGUAGGCGGCGACGCGGGCGGCGGUGGCGACCCCCUGGGCGACGCCGCGGGCGUAGCCGUAGAAUCCGGCGCCCUUGACGGCGGCGCCGGCGGCGGUGGAGGCGGUGUGGGUGCCGUGGCCCUCGGUGUCGAGGGGGGACUUGGACUCCCUGGACUCGUCGAUGGGGCGGCCCAUGGCGGCCUCGUAGCCCUUGUAGAAGAAGCGGGCGCCGACGAGCUUGUUGUUGCAGGCGGCGGAGGCGUUGAAGGAGGCGGCGGAGACGCAGGAGCCGCGCCACGACGAGGGGGGAGGGGGGAGAGCGGAGUCGGCGUCGGAGAAGGAGGGGCGGGAGGGCCAGAUGCCGGUGUCGAGGACGGCGACGACGGCGGAGGAGGCGAAGUGGGAGAGCGGCCAGAGGCCGGAGGAGGCGGAGAGGCGGAGGAGCGCCGGAGACGACGACGACUGGGGCGGAGCGUGGGCGGGGGACACGUGGACGAUGUAGGUGGAGCGCGUUUCCUGUUCGCUGUACGCCUCCGAGAACAGCAACGCGAAGACGACGAUGGAGAGGGCGAGGAGGAGAAACGGCUUCGCCAUUGUCGUCGUCGUCGACGUNUCGCCGCGAAGCCCGAGGCGGCGAGGGAGUACCCGUAGAGGAGGCGGGGGCGGGGGCGCCGGAGCCGCUCGGGGAGCAUGGACCCGAGCGCGCACGAGUACGCGCGGCGGAGGAGCGCCGGAGACGACGACGACUGGGGCGGAGCGUGGGCGGGGGACACGUGGACGAUGUAGGUGGAGCGCGUUUCCUGUUCGCUGUACGCCUCCGAGAACAGCAACGCGAAGACGACGAUGGAGAGGGCGAGGAGGAGAAACGGCUUCGCCAUUGUCGUCGUCGUCGUCGUCGUCGUCGGAGACUCGCUGGGGCCGAACAAGGUGUGG